rnacentral:sRNA from 1 species
UCUUGGUUAUUUUUUAUUUAAUUAUUAUCGCACCCGCUGGUUUACCAGUCAUAAAAUUCCCGCAAACGCACUCAUUACCAAACGCUUAACCAGUCGUUCAAAACACUUGAUAACGCUUGAAACCACAACCGUCCGUUUCCGCAAACUCCCGCAACCGCAACUGCACCCGCUGCGUUUAAACCAGUCAGGCCCUCAGUUGUUAGCGAUUGAUACAAAUUAUAAAAACUGUUAAAUAUCGUUUUGAACCGUUUGAGAUCGGUAGUUAAAAACUUU